AGAACGAACGCUGGCGGCAUGCCUAAUACAUGCAAGUCGAACGAACUCUUCGGAGUUAGUGGCGCACGGGUGCGUAACGCGUGGGAAUCUGCCCCUUGGUUCGGAAUAACAGUUGGAAACGACUGCUAAUACCGGAUGAUGACGAAAGUCCAAAGAUUUAUCGCCCAGGGAUGAGCCCGCGUAGGAUUAGCUAGUUGGUGAGGUAAAGGCUCACCAAGGCGACGAUCCUUAGCUGGUCUGAGAGGAUGAUCAGCCACACUGGGACUGAGACACGGCCCAGACUCCUACGGGAGGCAGCAGUAGGGAAUAUUGGACAAUGGGCGAAAGCCUGAUCCAGCAAUGCCGCGUGAGUGAUGAAGGCCUUAGGGUUGUAAAAGCUCUUUUACCCGAGAUGAUAAUGACAGUAUCGGGAGAAUAAGCCCCGGCUAAACUCCGUGCCAGCAGCCGC
rnacentral:rRNA from 1 species